GUGAAUCAUCGAAUCUUUGAACGCAAAUUGCACUCUCCGCUGAGAGUAUGCCUGUUUGAGGGUCAGCCUAUAAAAAAUCUACAUCUGUGCUGUUUCGCGUGGGCAUGCGUCGUUAGUGGGUUCAUCUUACAUCCGUUUGGUUUAAGCAAGUUAAAAUUUUCUUUUGGUUCCGUGAACGUUUCUAAGCUCUAUUUCUUUACACGUUUAAUAUGUCGGUUUUUACUAUAUUUGACCA
rnacentral:misc_RNA from 1 species